CGCAGAAGGGCUGGGAGGUCCCCACCCCAGGCCCCCUCAUUUCCAGUGAGGCCUGCAGAAGACCCAGAAAAUUUCUCAUAGGCCCUGAGGAGGAAAAGAACAGAAAAUUGGUCUGUGUGCCAGGAAUCUGGGUGCCACUUAGGCGGGCCUGCUGGCUCAGGGUCUCUCACAGGCUGAAAUCAAGGUGUCACCUGAGGCUACCAUCAUCUCAAGGCUUAACUGGCAAAGGAUGUACAUUCAGCCACCCUAGAUGGUUGUUGGCAGGACGCAAACUCCUCGUGGGCUAUUGAAUUGAGGACCUCUGUUUAUUGUUCUUGUCAGCCCAAGGCUGCCCUGAGUUCCUUGCCAUAAGGACCUCUCCAUAAGGCAGCUUGCAACAUGGGAGGUGCUUCAUCAGAGCCAGCUGGUGACAGAGUACAAGCAAGAUGAAAGUGACAGUCUUCUAUAACCUGAUCUUGGAAGUGACAGCCUAUCAUUUUUGCCAUAUUCUUCUCAUUAGAAGCAAGUCAAUAGUCCCACACUCUAAGUAAGGAGAUUGCAGAAGGGCAUAAAUAGGAGGAGAUGGGGAUUGCUGAAGGCCAAUUCAGAAGCUGCCUGCCUAGAACCAAGGAGUAUACGAAGCAUGCACAAGAUGGUUCAUCCUGGCAGAGGAGGAACAGUUCUUCCCUCAUAACCGAGCUGGAGAGGCACACGUGGCAGAAGGUAGAGGUGCGAAUUCACAGAAAUCAAGGAUGUAAGAUGAAGGUAUGUCUUCCAACAUACGGCAACAUCCAGUUGAUUCACUGAACUGAGAAAUGGGUGUAUACCUGUAAAAGAAAGGAAGAGCUAGCUUCAGUAUGCAGCCUAGUGAAACUGGAAUCAGAACAGAAUGAAUACGAUGAACUGGAAAUGUCAUGUUAUUGAGCUACAGUCUCUAGAACAGAGACAGUGGCAUCAGUUGGAGUCCUUAAUAUUUGAGGUUUCUUGGCUAAACUAACUUCCCCCAGAGAGGGCUAAGACGGAGGGCUAAGACGGGUAAUACCAUGUCUGCCUGUGACUCUCCUUUUAGUCAAGCUUCUGAGUGGGCUCCACCUCCAUUCAGGAUGAUGGUAGUAACACAGCUAAUGAAAGACAGUUUUCACUGGGUUAGAAAGUCCUAACGGCCAUUUUUUUUCUUUCUUGAGAGUUCUGUGUAAUUUUUUCUUUUUGAAGAGUUCUGUGUUUUUUCAGAGUUCUGAUCUCAUAUGAAAUGAUUUCAAAGUUUAGCUCUCAGUGGGAAAUAAUUUGUCCACAUUCCAGGGAAACAGGAGAAAGCCCCUUAGUUCUAAGAGUAGUACUGACAGUCAUCACCUACAGUCAAAUGAUAUUUUGGGCAAGUCUGCAUUCUUUUAUGAGCCACAAAACCAUAUAGCAGGAACUAAGAUGCAGAGACCCUGUAAUAAAUACAUUCCUUCCACCAGCUCUUAGACAUCGUUCAUAAAUUGUUCCAUUUGACAGUGAACAGGGAAAAUGGAUGAGAAACGUGGCCUCAAGCAUAUAAUGUAUAUGUGGUCAAAGAGUCAUGACCCAUGUGGCCACAUUACCAGAUUAUAUCUUAUUCUCACUUUCUCUACAAUAGGAUAAGCACCAACAGGAUAGAAAUACACUCUUCUCUCCAAUUUAAUUAUACCUUUAUUAUUACUUUUCUUAUAUGCACACAAGCAGCAACAGCUAAUGUAAAGUGGAAAUUGUAAUACAAUUUCCAUACUGUGUCUUUGUUGACUACAAAAUUAUAUAAAAAAUGUGUCUCACCCUUUAGUUGGGACCAUUUAGAAGCCUGAGGGCAAUUACACAGAGUGUAUUGGAGUUAGCCGCACAAUCUCCUAAUGGCAGCUUGGCCCAAAGCCAAGCUUUAAGCCAAACCUCAGGGAAUUCAAAUUUAAAAGUCAGCUACAUUAGUGGUAGUGAUUCAGUUUGGAGAAGAUAUCGCUUUUCGUGAUUUAUUACAGCCAGUGCUUUCAGUACAUUUAAAAGAUGGUCUAGCUUAGUUGCAUUUUCAAAGGAGCGCUACUGCAUAAAAUGAGGAACAUCUGAACUGAAAGCUAUCAGAAUGGAAAAGCUUGACUAGGGCUUGAAUUAUGUGGAAAGCGUAAUUCUUAGAAAUAGGUCCUCAAACACACAAGAAUCUGCAAAAAUGAGCUAUACUUUCAACCCCCCAAUAUCUAACCCUCGUGAUCAUUUGGUAGAGAAGGGUCUGUUACUGUCAAGUAUUUUUAAAUGACUGCAAAGACAUUAAUUCCCUAGGUGCAGAAUAAUCAUUCAGUAUCAAGAAUAAACAUAUAAUUUAAAAUAUUGUGGUUUUGCAACCAGCCAUAUCAAGAGUUUCCAAGAAAAAUGUAAACAAGGAUUUUGCAGUGACUCCAGCUAGAACACAUGAAUAUGACUGAGAACAGAAUAUCUCUACUUACUUUAGUCAAUUUUGUAGUAACUAAAUAAGUAAGAUGAAAAAAAGUAACUUCAAAAAAAAACGAUCUCUACUGAGCUAUCUGGAGACAAAACAUCGUGCUACAUUCCAAAUCACCAAGGGCCUUCCGGCACACACAUCAGAAAGUGAAAUAUAUCUGCCUCGAAGGAACUGGGCAGAGAUGCUUCUACCUUUAGGAAAACAACCCCAUUUUCAUAAUAAGCCUAUAAAUCAUAUAGUUAUUACCUGGUGCCUAUUUGUAAUGGGAAACAUCGUGAGAUAGUAUCGACGUAUUUUUUUUCUGGGAUCUGUGGCUCUAAAGCCCUUUCCCCAGCUCAGGCCACUUCCACUGCCUCAAGAAAGGAAUAACUCAAAGGACAAGAUCAUCAACUCCACUCAUUUAUUCACUUUUUUUUUUUAACGAACAUUUAUUGACCCCAUGUAUGUGCAAGAAACUGUUCUAAGUGCUGA
rnacentral:lncRNA from 1 species